rnacentral:rRNA from 1 species
GUUUACAACUCCCAAACCCAAUGUGAACGUUACCAAACUGUUGCCUCGGCGGGAUCUCUGCCCCGGGUGCGUCGCAGCCCCGGACCAAGGCGCCCGCCGGAGGACCAACCAAAACUCUUAUUGUAUACCCCCUCGCGGGUUUUUUUUUAUAAUCUGAGCCUUCUCGGCGCCUCUCGUAGGCGUUUCGAAAAUGAAUCAAAACUUUCAACAACGGAUCUCUUGGUUCUGGCAUCGAUGAAGAACGCAGCGAAAUGCGAUAAGUAAUGUGAAUUGCAGAAUUCAGUGAAUCAUCGAAUCUUUGAACGCACAUUGCGCCCGCCAGUAUUCUGGCGGGCAUGCCUGUCCGAGCGUCAUUUCAACCCUCGAACCCCUCCGGGGGGUCGGCGUUGGGGAUCGGCCCUCCCUCAGCGGGUGGCCGUCUCCGAAAUACAGUGGCGGUCUCGCCGCAGCCUCUCCUGCGCAGUAGUUUGCACACUCGCAUCGGGAGCGCGGCGCGUCCACAGCCGUUAAACACCCAACUUCUGAAAUGUUGACCUCGGAUCAGGUAGGAAUACCCGC